rnacentral:rRNA from 1 species
UACAGAGGGUGCGAGCGUUGUCCGGAAUCACUGGGCGUAAAGGGCGCGUAGGUGGUGACCUAAGCGUGCGGUGAAAGCCCGAGGCUCAACCUCGGGUCGGCCGUGCGAACUGGGUCACUGGAGCAGAAUAGAGGCAGGUGGAAUUCCACGUGUAGCGGUGAAAUGCGUAGAGAUGUGGAGGAACACCAAUGGCGAAGGCAGCCUCCUGGGCCAAUACUGACACUCAUGCACGAAAGCGUGGGGAGCAAACAGG